GAUAAAAGUGCAGCAUAGAUUGCUGCAAACCAUUGGUAAAACUGUAGCAUAGGUUGCUGCGAACCACUGAUGAAAUGCAACAUAGGUUGCUGGAAACCACUGAUAACAACAGAAGGUUGUUGGGAACCAUAUAAUACAGCAUAAGGUUGCUGGGAACCACUAGUAACAAUAUAAGAUUGCUGCAAACGAGUAACCAUAUUUAUAAGAUAAAAUUGUUGCUGAGGACAUGAACAGAUGACAUCAACAAGCAAGUAAUAAUAAUCUUCAACUGAUGACGGGAGCAGAUAA